CCUACGGGCGGCAGCAGUGAGGAAUAUUGGUCAAUGGACGAGAGUCUGAACCAGCCAAGUAGCGUGAAGGAUGACUGCCCUAUGGGUUGUAAACUUCUUUUAUAUGGGAAUAAAAUGUUACACGUGUGGGAUUUUGUAUGUACCAUAUGAAUAAGGAUCGGCUAACUCCGUGCCAGCAGCCGCGGGAAUACGGAGAAUCCGAGCGUUAUCCGGAUUUAUUGGGUUUAAAGGGAGCGUAGGUGGAUUGUUAAGUCAGUUGUGAAAGUUUGCGGCUCAACCGUAAAAUUGCAGUUGAAACUGGCAGUCUUGAGUACAGUAGAGGUGGGCGGAAUUCGUGGUGUAGCGGUGAAAUGCUUAGAUAUCACGAAGAACUCCGAUUGCGAAGGCAGUUCACUGGACUGCAACUGACACUGAGGCUCGAAAGUGUGGGUAUCAAACAGGAUUAGAUACCCUUGUAGUC
rnacentral:rRNA from 1 species